rnacentral:rRNA from 1 species
AUUGAACGCUGGCGGCGUGCCUAACACAUGCAAGUCGAGCGGUAACAGGUGUAGCAAUACAUGCUGACGAGCGGCGAACGGGUGAGUAAUGCUUCGGAAUCUGCCCAUGUAGUGGGGAAUAACCAGCCGAAAGGUUGGCUAAUACCGCAUACGACCCUUGCCCACAAGGCAAAGGUGAAAGCAGGGGAUCGCAAGACCUUGCGCUAUUGGAUGAGCCGAAGUCGGAUUAGCUAGUUGGUAGGGUAACGGCCUACCAAGGCGACGAUCCGUAGCUGGUCUGAGAGGACGACCAGCCACACUGGGACUGAGACACGGCCCAGACUCCUACGGGAGGCAGCAGUGGGGAAUAUUGGACAGUGGGGCAACCCUGAUCCAGCGACGCCGCGUGUGUGAAGAAGGCCUGCGGGUUGU